CGAACGCUGGCGGCAUGCUUAACACAUGCAAGUCGCACGGUUGGGGGCAACCCUGGCAGUGGCGGACGGGUGAGUAACGCGUAGGAAUCUAUCCUUGGGUGGGGGACAACCGUGGGAAACUACGGCUAAUACCGCAUGAUCCCUGAGGGGCAAAGGCGAGAGUCGCCUGAGGAGGAGCCUGCGUCUGAUUAGGUAGUUGGUGGGGUAAAGGCCUACCCAAGCCUACGAUCAGUAGCUGGUCUGAGAGGAUGAUCAGCCACAUUGGGACUGAGACACGGCCCAAACUCCUACGGGAGGCAGCAGUGGGGAAUAUUGGACAAUGGGCGCAAGCCUGAUCCAGCAAUGCCGCGUGGGUGAAGAAGGUCUUCGGAUUGUAAAGCCCUUUUGGCGGGGACGAUGAUGACGGUACCCGCAGAAUAAGCUCCGGCUAACUUCGUG
rnacentral:rRNA from 1 species